rnacentral:misc_RNA from 1 species
GAUGGAAUUCAAAUUUCUUGAUUUCAUAUUUUAUGGCCAAGAUCUCUUUGUAAAUCGUGUGAUAAUGCUUUUCAGAGGUUUUGAUUUAUCCACUUGCAUAUCCACAUAUAUGUUUUUCCCAUCGAUAUCUUCAAUUAGGAUAGCACCCUAAUACUUAUCACUAGCAUCUAUUUAAAGGAUCCUUUUGUCUAUGCUGGGUAUCUUUAAGGGAGGAGGAUUUUGUGUUAUCUGUUUCAAUAUUCUAACAACUGUUGUUUGCUUAGGAACCCAAAG